rnacentral:rRNA from 1 species
UACGGGGGGAGCAAGCGUUGUUCGGAUUUACUGGGCGUAAAGGGCGCGUAGGCGGCGUGACAAGUCACUUGUGAAAUCUCCGGGCUUAACUCGGAACGGUCAAGUGAUACUGUCGUGCUAGAGUACAGAAGGGGCAACUGGAAUUCCUGGUGUAGCGGUGGAAUGCGCAGAUAUCAGGAGGAACACCGGUGGCGAAGGCGGGUCUCUGGGCCGAUACUGACGCUGAGGAGCGAAAGCGUGGGGAGCGAACAGG